rnacentral:rRNA from 1 species
GGAGGAAAGCAGGGGAUCGCAAGACCUUGCGCUCAUUGAGCGGCCGAUGCCUGAUUAGCUAGUUGGUGAGGUAAAGGCUUACCAAGGCGACGAUCAGUAGCUGGUCUGAGAGGACGACCAACCACACUGGGACUGAGACACGGCCCAGACUCCUACGGGAGGCAGCAGUGGGGAAUUUUGGACAAUGGGGGAAACCCUGAUCCAGCCAUGCCGCGUGAGUGAAGAAGGCCUUCGGGUUGUAGAGCUCUUUCAGCCGGAACGAAACGGUCACGGCUAAUACCUGUGACUACUGACGGUACCGGAAGAAGAAGCACCGGCUAACUACGUGCCAGCAGCCGCGGUGAUACGUAGGGUGCGAGCGUUAAUCGGAAUUACUGGGCGUAAAGCGUGCGCAGGCGGUUUUGUAAG